AAUCAGUAUAGUCUGCAGAGACUUCAUUCAAAUCUUAAUUCAACAUUUCACUUCAAAAAAUAACAAUUUCUCUACCCAAUUUUUAUCAUAGCUGAUAAGAGAUAUUUUAAGUAUUUCACCUCCUGUCACUUAACUAUUUUUAGAACAGUUAAAAUGUAUUUUGUUCCCUCUUGGUAUUCACAGUGAGUCUCAGAAGGGCUCAAGUUAGAAGGAACCUCUGACAAAUCGUGACCAGGUGGCUUUUUGGUAUCUCCAGUGGGGAAAACUCCACAGCCUAUCUGUGCAACCUGUGCUUUUACUCUAGACUCCUCUCCCUUGAUUCAAGCAGCACAGAGUGAUUGCGACGGUGAAAGUUAUUUAUCAAGAACCUUUAAUUGUGGUCAUCAGUUUUCAUUAUCUUCUGAGAAAAUUACCACGCUGAAUAUAAGGUUUGGGAAGCACCAGCAUUUUCUUUGUACGUGGAAGAUGACAAAAAAUGGAAUUGCUUUAGAAUUACAUUGGUUGGUUACAUGUUUUUCUCAAAUGCUACCUUUUCUUAAUUCUCUGGGUGUUUGCAAAAAGAAAUGCGUACUUGUUUUAUUGUCAACCUACAUCUGGAUCUUUUUUCUUUUUCCUUUUUUUAAUAGAUUCUCCAAAUCAAUUUUCUUCAAGCUUUUCUCAGGAUGUGAAUAAGAGUAAAACUCUAAAUUGCUUUUCAUUUAUAUUGACAUCUUCUUUUCUCUCUCAAUGGGUGCGCUUCAGUCUCUGAAUCUAAUCUCCAGGAUUUUCAUUUGCUCUACACUUCAUUACAAAUGCUGUUCUGGUAGCCUCUGUAUUGUUUUGGAACAAGCCAAAAGUUCCUCACAAUAAUAUAAAUCACAGGGAGGUUUUCCUUGAUUUCUGAAGGCUGAUUAUCAAAACAUUAUCAGUCAACCCCAUGUCUGUAAGAUGCUUAUUUGAUUAUUUAAAGGAUACAGAAAAACAAGAAUUUUUUGAGUCGCUUUAUUCACGCUAGAUACACUCUUCAGUGAGCCAUUUUUCUUUCAAAGCUCUUACAUGCUAUCCAGAGUGUCUUUUCUGAGCCUGGGCACUGCUUUUUCUUAGUUAUGUUUACAUUUUUUUAUGGUAUUAGUAUGAAACUUGUAAUUUCUGCUUUCCUUGGAUGUAGGAAGCAAAAAAGAAAACAAAGAACAAACAAACAAAACCCCAAAAAACUAUAUUAUUUUUAUUGUUCCUCCCAUUAAAUUUAUUGUUUUAACAAGUGAGUGAUUAAUUUCAAUUUCAUAGCUAAUCCAAUUUUGACCUCAGUGCAUUAUUUGCUGAUAUGUAGUGUGAUAUAUUUUAGGAAUGUUGAUAUAUAAAAGUUGGUUUGGAUGAACUGUCCUUACAGUCCAGCAUCCUAACAGAGAUGUUUUUAUUCCUUAAAAAUCAAAGAUACAAGAAUAUUUGCUGGACAAUUAUGACAAAUCUUGCCUGCAGGAAGAAGUUUAUCUUCAUUAGUUUGUAAAAUAGC
rnacentral:lncRNA from 1 species